UUUAUUAACUAGUGUGAAGUAAAAGACAAUUUCAUCACUUUUGCUGGGUAUUAACAUCAUCUUUACAUUGAACAACAGAAACAAAUCUGUGAACAAAUCCAAGUAACACAGUCAGAUGAAUCAUCGAUACAGAUAUGGUGGGGGAAAAGUCCUGGAAACAUCAGUGCUGCUGACAGGAUGUGAUAAAGACAGGCACAAGCCAGCCAACUAGACUGGGAGAUGUCAUUAAAUGAAAAGAAAAUAAUAGAAUUAUCAACUAUGAAGUUUAUUUUUCCUCAAAGGAUGAUACAACUUAUCUCAGAAGCUACAGAUGUGCAUCACUAUGGUCUAAUAUUGAAGAUUUACAGGUUAUAUACUCAGAAAAAACCAACACAUUCACUUUAUUUGAAACUGGUGCAGUUCAUGCACUUUCACAGAGCGCUUCUUGCAUCAAGGCUGUAACUUCUGACAACAUUAGGACUCUUAAAAAAAAAACAAAACCAAGGAUUCAAAAUGAUGGGUAAUCAAUAAGUUGCUUUAGUAAUCUGUUACGCAGAAUCCCCGUGGUUUUAAAAUGUGUGUUUCAUUUCCAAAAUAAUUUAAGUGAUUUUGUCCGUUGGCUUUUGCCAUGCUUCUGUCAGCCAGAUUAAAGAGCUUUCCAUUA